AUUGAACGCUGGCGGCAUGCCUUACACAUGCAAGUCGAACGGUAACAGGCCGCUAGCUCCUGACUUGUGCGGCAGGGGUGAGUAAUGCACCUGAACGUGCCCCGGCGAGGGGGAGAAAUCCUCGGAAGAGUGGCUCUAACCCCGUACAAGCCAUGGGUGAGAGCGUGGGGGCUUAUGGCCUCUCGCGCUUUCAGCUGAGCCUAGGUCGGAUUAGCUAGUUGGUGGGGUAAAGGCCUACCAAGGCAACGAUCUGUAUCUGGUCUGAGAGGAUGAUCAGUCACACUGGGACUGAGACACGGUCCAGACUCCUACGGGAGGCAGCAGUGGGGAAUUUUGGACAAUGGGCGCAAGCCUGAUCCAGCAAUGCCGCGUGCAGGAAGAAGGCCUUCGGGUUGUAAACUGCUUUUGUACGGAACGAAACGGAUCUGGUUAAUACCCGGGGCUUUUGACGGUACCGUAAGAAUAAGCACCGGCUAACUACGUG
rnacentral:rRNA from 1 species